rnacentral:rRNA from 1 species
ACGCUCGACACCUACGGGUGGCAGCAGGUGAGGAAUAUUGGUCAAUGGGCGCUAGCCUGAACCAGCCAAGUAGCGUGAAGGAUGAAGGCUCUAUGGGUCGUAAACUUCUUUUAUAUAAAGAAUAAAGUGCAGUAUGUAUACUGUUUUGUAUGUAUUAUAUGAAUAAGGAUCGGCUAACGUCCGUGCCAGCAGCCGUGGUAAUCUGAGCGGGCUGGCAAGGC